AUUGAACGCUGGCGGCAGGCCUAACACAUGCAAGUCGAGCGGAGCGGCGGACGGGGGAGUAAUGCCUAGGAAUCUGCCUGGUAGUGGGGGAUAACGUCCGGAAACGGGCGCUAAUACCGCAUACUACAAGAUCAGCCUAGGUCGGAUUAGCUAGUUGGUGGGGUAACGGCCUACCAAGGCGACGAUCCGUAACUGGUCGGAGAGGAUGAUCAGUCACACUGGAACUGAGACGCGGUGCAGACUCGUACGGGAGGCAGCAGGGGGAAAUCUUGGACAAUGGGCGAUAGCCUGAUCCAGCCAUGCCGCGUGUGUGCAGAAGGUCUUCGGAUUGUAAAGCACUUUAAGUUGGUAGGCGUUACCAACAGAAUAAGCACCGGCUAACUUCGUGCCAGCCGCCGCGGUAAUAC
rnacentral:rRNA from 1 species